rnacentral:rRNA from 1 species
GCCUACGGGGCGCAGCAGUGAGGAAUAUUGGUCAAUGGACGAAAGUCUGAACCAGCCAUGCCGCGUGCAGGAAGACGGCUCUAUGAGUUGUAAACUGCUUUUGUACAAGGGUAAACCUGAAUACGUGUAUUCAGCUGAAAGUACUGUACGAAUAAGGAUCGGCUAACUCCGUGCCAGCAGCCGCGGUAAUACGGAGGAUCCAAGCGUUAUCCGGAUUUAUUGGGUUUAAAGGGUGCGCAGGCGGCGUGUCAAGUCAGCGGUAAAAUGUCGGGGCUCAACCCCGGCCGGCCGUUGAAACUGGCGUG